AUUGAACGCUGGCGGCAGGCUUAACACAUGCAAGUCGAGCGGAGAUGAGGUGCUUGCACCUUAUCUUAGCGGCGGACGGGUGAGUAAUGCUUAGGAAUCUGCUUAUUAGUGGGGGACAACAUUCCGAAAGGAAUGCUAAUACCGCAUACGCCCUACGGGGGAAAGCAGGGGAUCUUCGGACCUUGCGCUAAUAGAUGAGCCUAUGUCGGAUUAGCUAGUUGGUGGGGUAAAGGCCCACCAAGGCGACGAUCUGUAGCGGGUCUGAGAGGAUGAUCCGCCACACUGGGACUGAGACACGGCCCAGACUCCUACGGGAGGCAGCAGUGGGGAAUAUUGGACAAUGGGCGGAAGCCUGAUCCAGCCAUGCCGCGUGUGUGAAGAAGGCCUUUUGGUUGUAAAGCACUUUAAGCGAGGAGGAGGCUACCUGGAUUAAUACUCUAGGAUAGUGGACGUUACUCGCAGAAUAAGCACCGGCUAACUCUGUGCCAGCAGCCGCAGUAACAC
rnacentral:rRNA from 1 species